rnacentral:rRNA from 1 species
GACGAACGCUGGCGGCGUGCUUAACACAUGCAAGUCGAACGGAAAGGCCCUGCUUUUGUGGGGUGCUCGAGUGGCGAACGGGUGAGUAACACGUGAGUAACCUGCCCUUGACUUUGGGAUAACUUCAGGAAACUGGGGCUAAUACCGGAUAGGAGCUCCUGCUGCAUGGUGGGGGUUGGAAAGUUUCGGCGGUUGGGGUUGGACUCGCGGCUUAUCAGCUUGUUGGUGGGGUAGUGGCUUACCAAGGCUUUGACGGGUAGCCGGCCUGAGAGGGUGACCGGCCACAUUGGGACUGAGAUACGGCCCGGACUCCUACGGGAGGCAGCAGUGGGGAAUAUUGCACAAUGGGCGGAAGCCUGAGGCAGCAACGCCGCGUGCGGGAUGACGGCCUUCGGGUGGUAAACCGCUUUCGCCUGUGACGAAGCGUGAGUGACGGUAAUGGGUAAAGAAGCACCGGCUAACUACGUG